ensembl:lncRNA
GGCUAUGACGACUCCACCCACGAUGAGGCUAUAUGGAAAAACAACUAAUGGGACACGCCCCUUUGAGCUGCGUGCUACAGCGAGGCUAAGCUAGUGGGGGAAAAGUUUCAGUGCAUUCCGUUGAUGUAGACGGCGUGAAAACGGAAACAAGUAUGCUGGCUCACUGUGCUGCAUACAAUUGCACACUGCGUCGUACGACUGAGACAAGGAAACUUGGAAGGACUUUUCAUAGGUUUCCCAGAGACUAUGGGUUGAGGAGGAAGUGGAAGUUUGUCGGCUUAGACCUGGUGUCAUUCCAUCAGUGUUAAACUUCCCGGCUCAUCUUGGAAGAGUACGUGCCAGAAAGACCACGACCAAGCAGCCUUGAGAUCUUAGGCAGCGUCUCCCUGAGGUCCCUCUCUAUCUCCCCACACAUCCACCAACCACUGGAACACAUCUCCAAAGUUCUGCCGGGCCAGCUCAGCUUCCCCUCAGAAGAAGUGCAGCCACCUGCCAGAUGAAGGAGCCUUUUGAGAGGCAGCUGGCAUCGUGAUUGGACUGUACUUUGGUCUGUUCCAAUCCAGCUUCAGUUCCAGAGACGGCAGGCGGGACGAGUCAACGGAGGCCGGGUGGACGAAGGCAUGCAGCUGAGUACAAUCUAGAAAACAACAGAGGAGGAGAGCAGGGCCAGAACAAACAGAGUAGCAUCUUGCUGUAAAAAGUCAGUCCAUCCUGGCUGACUUCAACACCUCUUCAUGACAACUUGUUCUGCCUCCGACCUCGUGGAAACUCCAGAAACUCGGGAAAACCUGUGGAGACUCGAAGAACUCGUGGAGACUCGAAAAACUCGUCGGGCGGGGGAAGGUGUGGUGGGCGGUGGAGGGAGGUGGGGGAGUAGAGGGGGGAGGCCGCCACCCACCUCCCCACCUACUCUCCGCCCUGACUCCACCCAGACUCCGCCUUGCCUCCGCCCAUGUGGUCACUUCAGGAACUACGAUGCCAAAGGGACGACGAAUUUAUUUCUUUUUAUCUGAUCUGUAGCUCAGUGAGUUAAGGAUUUGCCUAUGGAGCUGCAGGUCGCCGGUUCAAGACCAGACACUUCUUAAAUUUUCUCAAUAUUCUGACAAAGACAAAGAAAGAAAAAGGCCGGUGGCGGGUCUUGAACCUGCGACCUUCCAGUCUGUAGUCUGUCUUCUUUUCCCCUGAGCUAUACGCUCAGAUACUAAUUCUUCUUUUUUUUGCGCAUUUAUCAUCUAUUUUUUGUCGUUUUCGAGUUUUUUUUUUAACUCGAGUCUCGACUCGACCGUUUUUCUCAGGAGGUUGGACUUCAGCCUUUGUGCUGGAGGGUGGAACCCUCAGUUCCAAGACUUUCCAAAGCCUCCACACCUCCCGAGUCUUCAGGACCUGAGCUUUCACACAGUCUGAGGGCUGAAAUUUUCUAAGUCCCACAGCAGUUCUCUGUUAGUUUGAACCUUCAGACAGUCUGAGGACAGAAAUUUUCCAAGUCCCACAGUAGUUCUCUGUUAGUUUGAACCUGCAGACAGUCCAAGGACUGAAAUCCUCUAAGUUCCUGAGUACUUCUCUGUUAGUUUGAACCUUCAGACAGUCUGAGGACUGAAAUUUUAAAAGUUCCUGUGUACUUCUCUGUUAGUUUGAGCUUUCAGACAGUCUGAGGACUGAAAUUUUAAAAGUUUCUCACUACUUCUCUGUUAGUUUGAACCUUCAGACACUCUGAGGACUGAAGUUUUAAAAGUUUCUCAGUACUUCUCUGUUAGUUUGAACUUUCUGGUUAACAGAAGCCUUAAAACUUGUGACCAUGAGUCUUGAUUUCACAUUUAGACCAUCCAUCUGAGUUCUUCUCAGACCUUCACCUGUGGGUUUUUUAGAAAUCCUGAACAAACUUUGAUUCUCUUCACUGAACAGUAAAGUUUGUGGAGAUCAGAAGGUAACAUUAGUUUGAUCAAUGCCUUCAACUACUAGUAGACUUUAUCUGGAAAGCAGUUUCCUUAAAUGAGUUCUUAGUAAAUCUGUCCACAAUCAAACCAAGAACAUAGAAAGAGGAAAUGUUUGAAGAAACAACUUGAUGUUUUCAUUUCAGACUAGAAAAUGCUUUAAUACCUUCAUCUAUUUUUGCUCUUUUUCAUCUUUUUAUUGUCUCUUCUGUUUAAUUUGAUCUUCUAAAGUUUAACUGGUGUCUUUUCAAAUGUUUUGUCUUUAGUUUUAUUCUUCUUAAAUGUUUAGUGUUGCUCUUUUCUCACCUUUUAUUCUUUUCUAAUGUCUG